rnacentral:rRNA from 1 species
AGAGUUUGAUCCUGGCUCAGAAUCAACGCUGGCGGCGUGCCUAACACAUGCAAGUCGCACGAGAAAGGGUAGCAAUACCCGAGUACAGUGGCGCACGGGUGAGUAACACGUGGAUCAUCUACCUCUUUGUGGGGGAUAACUCUGGGAAACCGGAGCUAAUACCGCAUAAGCUCGAGAGAGGAAAGCAGCAAUGCGCAGAGAGAGGAGUCCGCGGCCGAUUAGCUAGUUGGCGGGGUAAUGGCCCACCAAGGCGAUGAUCGGUAGCCGGCCUGAGAGGGCACACGGCCACACUGGCACUGAAACACGGGCCAGACUCCUACGGGAGGCAGCAGUGGGGAAUCUUGCACAAUGGGGGCAACCCUGAUGCAGCGACGCCGCGUGAGCUGAAGCCCUUCGGGGUGUAAAGCUCUUUCGGCAGGGACGAUAAUGACGGUACCUGAAGAAGAAGCUGCGGCUAACUACGUGCCAGCAGCCGCGGUAAUACGUAGGCAGCAAGCGUUGUUCGGAAUUACUGGGCGUAAAGAGUGUGUAGGCGGUUUUCUAAGUUUGGUGUGAAAUCUCCCGGCUUAACUGGGAGGGUGCGCCGAAAACUGGAAGGCUUGAGUGUCGGAGAGGAUAGCGGAAUUCCCCGUGUAGCGGUGAAAUGCGUAGAUAUCGGGAGGNNNNCCUGCGGUGUAGACGGCUAUCUGGACGACCACUGACGCUGAGACACGAAAGCGUGGGUACAAACAGGAUUAGAUACCCUAGUAGUCC